GGUCUUUUGGUGCAUCGGUUAGCACUACGCUUUUUCAAGGCGUCGAGACGGGUUCAAUUCCCGUAAAGACUA
rnacentral:tRNA from 1 species